rnacentral:rRNA from 1 species
GAUGAACGCUGGCGGCGUGCCUAAUACAUGCAAGUCGAGCGAACGGACGAGAAGCUUGCUUCUCUGAUGUUAGCGGCGGACGGGUGAGUAACUGUGGAUAACCUACCUAUAAGACUGGGAUAACUUCGGGAAACCGGGGCUAAUACCGGAUAAUAUUUUGAACCGCAUGGUUCAAAAGUGAAAGACGGUCUUGCUGUCACUUAUAGAUGGAUCCGCGCUGCAUUAGCUAGUUGGUAAGGUAACGGCUUACCAAGGCAACGAUGCAUAGCCGACCUGAGAGGGUGAUCGGCCACACUGGAACUGAGACACGGUCCAGACUCCUACGGGAGGCAGCAGUAGGGAAUCUUCCGCAAUGGGCGAAAGCCUGACGGAGCAACGCCGCGUGAGUGAUGAAGGUCUUCGGAUCGUAAAACUCUGUUAUUAGGGAAGAACAUAUGUGUAAGUAACUGUGCACAUCUUGACGGUACCUAAUCAGAAAGCCACGGCUAACUACGUG